rnacentral:rRNA from 1 species
UACGGAGGGUGCGAGCGUUGUCCGGAAUCACUGGGCGUAAAGGGUGCGUAGGCGGGCCUUUAAGUCAGGGGUGAAAUCCUGGAGCUCAACUCCAGAACUGCCUUUGAUACUGAAGAUCUUGAGUCCGGGAGAGGUGAGUGGAACUGCGAGUGUAGAGGUGAAAUUCGUAGAUAUUCGCAAGAACACCAGUGGCGAAGGCGGCUCACUGGCCCGGUACUGACGCUGAGGCACGAAAGCGUGGGGAGCAAACAGG